AUGUAUUGGUAUGUAAGGUAAAAAAUAUCCAAAUAAAAAUAUAUAAAUUUUUAAAUCAUCUAAGUCAUUUCAGCUCAUGUUAUUGAUAAUUAACAUAAGGUCAAAUUCUUCUUUUAUUUCUAUUACAAUAAUAGUUUUAUUAAACAUCCAACGAACGAAGUGAUCACCGACCAACGAACGAAGUGAGCACGAACCAACGAACGAAUUGCCAUUCCACCAACGAGUCAGUGGCAACGAGUCGAGGCGCGUGGACGGGUUUACGUGAACAGUUUUCGUGUGAUGAUGGUAAGGACCUCUGGCGUGGUCUGGCUCCCCGUUGAAUUCGCACAAUCCUCGCCCCGACUCCCUUUCUGACUGCAAUUUCGAGCGGCUCUUCAUGGAAAUUGGUUGCGAAUCUGUGAAUGGAAUCAAAGUUGCCGACAUAGGAAUAGCAAGGCGUGGUCGUGAUUACGUCGUGAGCGUCGGGGAUUCUCUCGCGAUUCCUCGGAGCUCCGUCUUCUUCCUUAAAUUGGCGAUGAGGCAGUGAAGUCGGUGUCGAAGGGUCGCGCUUCUGUUCGGAACAUUCACCAAAGUGGGUUCCUCUCCGUCCGUUUUGGUGAUCAAUUGCUGAAUUGAGUAAUGGCGUGCAUUCCCAGGCCACAGCAUGGAUGCCCUGUGCAAAGGAGAUAGUUUUCCGUUUUUCCUUGGAACAAGGUAUGGCCUUUUUUUUAAAUUAAUGUCGUGAAGUUUACUUUCGAGUGAAACAGUCGAUGGCGUCGGAUCUUAGAGUAAAUUAUGAACGAGCAAAGGAUAAAUCGGACCGGCAAAAUUUGUCGUAUAUGUGAAAAGAGUCGGAAUGCCGGUCCCGACAAUUUCCAAUCUCAUAGGUCUAAACAUCGUGCUUAGUUUACUCAUGUACGCGUUUCCCACGCGCAAGCUAAUUUGCUGGUCGAUGACUCUGCCUUGGUGAAAGAGUUUUGCUGGACGUGAGGGGGUGCUUCUUAGUGAGGGCGAACGUCUACAAUGUCCCGAUGCCCUUUGAUGAAACGAUGGAUGACUGAAUUGGUGUCGAAUCAAUAACGUGUUGGAAGGAUAGAAUUUCGACGCAUCACUGUUAUAAACCUUAAGCAUUCCUCUGAAACAAAAAUUCUGAAAUUAAGCUUUUCCCUUGCAUUUCACAGUUGAAUUGUGAAGUUGAUUAUCUUCUUAAUUCCCCACAGGUUUUAACCCUUCUAAUGGAGGAAAAGAUUAGGAUUAGUAAACCAUUGGCUAGCUGCUUCCGUUGGGAUAGGUUCGUGACAUGCAAUAAUUUUCUGGGGAGACAUGAAAGUCAAUUAUGCAGAGACUUCAAGCUGGACCAGCAAAGGUGUAGUCCGCUUAUGAACAUACUCUUUAUACUGCAACCUGCAAGAAUUCUUUGCAAUUAAUCUAGAAGAGGAUAAGUUUAAUACUAUUGUUUCUGAGCUUCAUUUCCUAGGGGAGGAGCUAUUGCUGAUGAUGACACGAUUUAACAGAUGUUUAGACCGAUUUAUUUGUAAAUUUUAUGAAGUGAUGUUUCGACUGCAGCUCUGAGCUUACCAAGAUUCAAGAAUGGAUCUAAUUUGAUUGGCACCUCGCAAGGGUCACUCUUGGCUUUACAACAAUAUAGAAGAAGGUGACUACUUGGCGUGUACCCUGGUUGCUGAGUCGAUAUUUUUUGUCAAGAUUACAACAAACAAGGCUGUGAAAAGUCUGUUUCCUUACUCGAUUCGAAUGCUGAAGUGUCUUUACUGGCUGCCAAAACUCAAUAUGAUGAUGGAUUGUAUUACAAAUUAUCUCUUUGGAGCUCCUCGGACAAGGCUGAUGAAGUCCUUAUUUCAAAAGGAGGGGAAAAACGUAGAAUGAAGCAGUACAAGAGUAAUACUCUUUUUGCUUUCAAAAUACUUCCCUAUAUUCAUCAGCAGGAACCAAAGACCUCGGAUGCUGGGAUUAAAGAGAUAGACAUGAAUAUUCACCAUCUUGUGGGUCUCGACAAAUCUAUAACAAAAGUUCAAGCCAGCGUCUGUCACUUAGGAGAAGAACGUUGUUCUAAAGAAUUAAUUGAAAGAAUAAUCCAAUAGGGAAUGCCAUUAAUUCUUGAGCCUGCCGAAUGUAGUGUAUCUGAUAUAUCUUACCCUCAUGUAUUUUACAGUAAUAAACUAGUACAUAUACAUAUUCUAGUUCUUGUGGUAGCACACAAUCAAUGUUACAAAAUGGACAUUCAUUUAUGUUGCAAAUACAAAUGUGCCAAACACUUUGUGGAA